GGGGUCCCCGCUUCUCCGGCCGCCUUGCAGAAGCGGCCACCGCCCGGCGGCUCUGCCUUUGCUCGCAGGCCUGCCUGGGGGCUCCCUCGGCUCCACCGCUGAGCUGGCGGCCCCGAUCCCGGGAGCGGCUAGGCCUGCGCCAGGGCCCUGACCCGACAGCUUCUCCGGCUCCCCAAGCCGAGGACAGCUUCGGCUGUGAAGCAGCGCCUUCCGGGCUGGCCCCUUCUCGGCUUAUCACGCUGGGCCUCGCCUCUCCAGCUCCCGGUUCCCCUCUCGCUCAGCGCCGGCUCCGGCUUGUCCUUGACGUGCGUGGCCCGUAGGAUCCGAGACGCCGCCCAGAGGAGCCGCUGCCUCCGCUCCAGGUUAACACAGAACAAAGGAAACCUAUAGAAGAUAAAUAUUUGGAAAGUUAGAAGGAAUCUGUCAGGUAAGGGGGUGCCGUGCGCUCUUUCUAGAGCUGUAAGGGUUUGGAAAACCUUUUUUUUUAAUUAAAGAAAUAAAAUUCUCAGCUGCAACCCCAAUAAGGCAGUACAUCCCCCUCCGUUUUUCCGGUUGCAUUUCUUUUCGGCCCAGCCUUCAAAGGGGAAUCGGGCCCGUUCCUGCCCGGGCUGUCGGAGCGCCUAGGUUGUCUGUGGCUGAGGCUCCGCUCCUUUUGCCCGAACCCGGUCGGUCUCCUACUCCCAAUUCCCCCCCAAGAAACCUGGA